rnacentral:rRNA from 1 species
CGACCGGCGCACGGGUGCGGAACGCGUAUCGAAUCUGCCUCUAUCUGGGGGAUACCCCAUGGAAACGUGCGAAUAAUACGCCCAUAGUAUUACUUUAUCGGCUCUGAUUUAGUAAUUAAAGAAUUUCGGAUAGAGAUGAGGAUGCGUAUCAUUAGCUAGUAAGUAAGGUAACGGCUUAACUCAAGCAACGAUGAUUAGGGGUCCUGAGACGGAGAUCCCCCACACUGGUACUGAGACACGGACCAGACUCCUACGGGAGGCAGCACUGAGGAAUAUUGGACAAUGGUCGAAAGACUGAUCCCGCCAUGCCGCGUGCAGGAUGACUGUCCUAUGGGUUGUAAGCUGCUUUUAUACGGGAAGAAAAACACCUACGUGUAGGUGACUGACGGUACCGUAAGAAUAAGGACCGGUUAACUCCGUGCCAGCAGGCGUGGUAAUACGGAGGGUCCAAGCGUUAUCCGGAAUCGUUGGGUCUAAAGGGUCCGUACGCGGGCUAUUAAGUCAGAGGUGAAAGUUUGCAGUUCAACUGUAAAAUUGCCUUUGAUACUGAUAGU